rnacentral:rRNA from 1 species
AACGAACGCUGGCGGCAUGCCUAACACAUGCAAGUCGAACGAGACCUUCGGGUCUUGUGGCGCACGGGUGCGUAACGCGUGGGAACCUGCCCUUAGGAUCGGAAUAACUCCCCGAAAGGGGUGCUAAUACCGGACAAUGUCUUCUGACCAAAGCCUUAUCGCCGUGGGAUGGGCCCGCGUUGGAUUAGCUAGUUGGUAGGGUAAAAGCCUACCAAGGCGACGUGUCAUGGCUGGUCGGAGAGGAUGACCAGCCAGACUGGGACUGAGACACGGCCCAGACUCCUACGGGAGGGAGCAGUGGGGAAUAUUGGGGAAUGGAGCAAGGCCUGAUACAGCAAUGCCGCGUGAGUGAUGAAGGCCUUAGGAUUGUAAAGCUCUCUUACCCGGGAUGAUAAUGACAGUACCGGGAGAAUAAGCUCCGGCUAACUCCGUG